AAUUCCUUGUCGGGUAAGUUCCGACCUGCACGAAUGGCGUAACGACUUCCCCGCUGUCUCCAGCAUAGACUCAGCGAAAUUGAAUUCUCCGUGAAGAUGCGGAGUUCCCGCGGUCAGACGGAAAGACCCCGUGAACCUUUACUAUAGCUUCGCAGUGGCAACAGGACCGUUAUGUGUAGGAUAGGCGGGAGACAUUGAAGCAGGGACGCUAGUUCUUGUGGAGUCACCCUUGAAAUACCGCCCUUAACUGUCUUGUUGUCUAACCGCGGCCCGUCUAUCCGGGUCCGGGACCCUGCGUGGUGGGUAGUUUGACUGGGGUGGUCGCCUCCAAAA
rnacentral:rRNA from 1 species